AUCCCUGGCGUGAAACAACUAGGCCAAACCAAUAGCGCAUCUCCUAUGCAACUGAAUAUCAACCCUGUCAAUAUGCGUCUGGAGAAUCUGUAUCUGAAAAAUAAGACCGUCAAUCAUGAUUAUUGCCCAGCUCUGAUCCAAGAUUCCAAGCAAACAGAAGCACAGAGAAGCAGUGAAGAAGUAUUCUAGCUUACACUUACAUUUUCAGGAAGAAGAGCAAUCAUCGGUAUGUACGUCACAAGGCCGACGCAGAACGUUAUAUUCUGCCUCGCAAUAAAUCGAUCCUCUUCUUUGUUUCCAACGGAAAAUUGCACUUACGAGAUCAAUCGAGAAUUUCGCGCGAUCUGUGGAGUGCGAAAAUCGUUAAAAAGAACAAACUUGGCGGGAAGUUUAAAAAUAUGUGCGUUACCGAUUAGGGAAAAAAGUGACCUGAAAAUAAGCAUGUAAGCGAGGUCGUAUGAUAAAUGGCUAGCACCUACGAGUAGCCACGGAAAUGUAACAUUGACUCGAUUAACUCGUAUCUUCCGCUCAGUUAAACGCUUGCUCGUUAAAAGUAUCAUUUUGUAGAUAUAAUAUGACAUAUGUAUGGUAACUCACAGAACUAUUUAAAUAUCUAUAAACAUUCUGUAUGAAUAUAUUAUGCGUGUUAUAUAUUACACACAUUUUCUAAACAUUUUCGGAUUUUAUUACCACCAUAAUGAGUCGUAACUACCAUGAUUAUAUUGGUAAAAUUUCAGCCUAAUGUAAAAAUAUACAUAGA